rnacentral:rRNA from 1 species
UGGGGAAUAUUGCACAAUGGGCGCAAGCCUGAUGCAGCCAUGCCGCGUGUGUGAAGAAGGCCUUCGGGUUGUAAAGCACUUUCAGCGGGGAGGAAGGCGAUAAGGUUAAUAACCUUGUCGAUUGACGUUACCGACAGAAGAAGCACCGGCUAACUCCGUGCCAGCAGCCGCGGUAAUACGGAGGGUGCAAGCGUUAAUCGGAAUUACUGGGCGUAAAGCGCACGCAGGCGGUCUGUCAAGUCGGAUGUGAAAUCCCCGGGCUCAACCUGGGAACUGCAUUCGAAACUGGCAGGCUAGAGUCUUGUAGAGGGGGGUAGAAUUCCAGGUGUAGCGGUGAAAUGCGUAGAGAUCUGGAGGAAUACCGGUGGCGAAGGCGGCCCCCUGGACAAAGACUGACGCUCAGGUGCGAAAGCGUGGGGAGCAAACAGG